rnacentral:rRNA from 1 species
AGUGAACGCUGGCGGUAGGCCUAACACAUGCAAGUCGAACGGCAGCACAGUAAGAGCUUGCUCUUACGGGUGGCGAGUGGCGGACGGGUGAGGAAUACAUCGGAAUCUACUUUUUCGUGGGGGAUAACGUAGGGAAACUUACGCUAAUACCGCAUACGACCUACGGGUGAAAGCAGGGGAUCUUCGGACCUUGCGCGAUUGAAUGAGCCGAUGUCGGAUUAGCUAGUUGGGGGGGUAAAGGCCCACCAAGGCGACGAUCCGUAGCUGGUCUGAGAGGAUGAGCGGCGAGGCUGGAACUGGGAAGGAGUCAAGACGCCAACGGGAGGAAGCAGUCGGGAAUGUUCGGGAAUGGGCGAAAGCAUGAUAGAGCAACGCUGCGGGAGUGAUGAAAGAGUUCGGAUCGUAAACACCUUUGUUCAGGGAAGAAAAAAAGAAUAAGCACAUAUGCACGUCGUGACGGUACCUAAUGAAAAAGCUACGGCUAACUACGUG